GACGAACGCUGGCGGCGUGCUUAACACAUGCAAGUCGAACGGUGAAGCGCCUUCCUUUUUGGUGGGUGUGGAUGCGUGGCGAACGGGUGAGUAACACGUGAGUAACCUGCCCCCUUCUUCUGGAUAACCGCAUGAAAGUGUGGCUAAUACGGGAUAUUCUGGGUCUGUCGCAUGAUGGGUCUUGGUAAGAUAUUGUAUCGGUGGGGGAUGGGCUCGCGGCCUUUCAGCUUGUUGGUGGGGUGAUGGCCUACCAAGGCGGUGAAGGGUAGCCGGCCUGAGAGGGUAGACGGUCACAAUGGGAAAGAGACACAGACGAGAAAGCGAAGGGAGGCAGUAGUGGGAAAUAUUGCGCAAUGGGCGAAAGGCAGAUGCAGCGGAGGCGCGUGAGAGAUGGAGGCUUGAGGGUUGUGAAACUCUUUCGCCAGUGAAGCAGGAAUGCCUCGUUUGUGGGUGGGUUGACGGUAGCUGGAGAAGAAGCGACGGCUAACUACGUG
rnacentral:rRNA from 1 species